GCCCAGCUGACGAGUCCCAAACAGGUUGAAACGCACGUCCUGGAU
rfam:Schistosoma mattheei strain Denwood, Zambia genome assembly, scaffold: SMTD_scaffold0001630